CAAAGCAGACCCUCCGAGUUUGCUCACAGGAACAAGCUGGGGUAAAUGUUUAACUUGAGUCUGUGGAGUCUGUGGCUUCUACCUUUCUUUAUUAUUAACCCAACCCCUGUUUUUCUUUACAGUUGCACAGCUGCUGGCACACAAGAAACAAAAGGACCCUUGAAAUAACUUCCUUAUGGAGGCAUGAACAAAGCCCUGCCAACCUGUCAGUCCAGCCAUGCAAGAGAAAGAGAAAGGGAGAGAGACAGAGAAAAAGAAAGGGAAUGGAACAGGGAUUCUUUUAGAUCUCAGCAGACAUUAAGAUUUCCAAUGAACAGAGAAAACAAAUAGCCACUGGGACCACACAUGCGUUCUGUAA
rnacentral:lncRNA from 1 species